GCCCGCUUCCGGGAGCCGGAGGCAAGUGGGAGCCGCGCCCUGUGCUCUGCGUCCGGCACUACCCACCUCAAGUCUCCAAGGCUUCGUUUUCUGGGCUGGUUCUGCUAGCUGUAGUACUGCUGCCGGGCCCUCUGCACUCAGCUUUAACAAGGAGGCCAUUUGCUUCAAACUAAGUGGCGAAUUCCCUAUCACCCAUGCUUGACCUAGCUUCCAAGCCAAACUUACUUUCCACUGUGCUGCUUCUAGUCCUGCUACCGGUGUCCUCCCUGAGCCGUCGGGUUAAAAGCUUUCCUUCCUGGCCGGGUGCGGUGACUCACGCCUGUAAUCCCAGCAGUUUGGGAGGCCGAGGCGGACGGAUCAUGAGGUCAGAAGUUCGAGACCAGCCUGGCCAGCAUGGUGAAACCUCGUCUCUACUAAAAAUACAAAAAAUUAGCCGGGCAUGGUGGCGCGCGCCUGUAGGCCCAGCUACUCGGGAGGCCGAGGCAGGAGAAUCGCUUGAACCCGGGAGGCCGGAGGUUGCAGUGAGCCAAGAUCACACCAGUGCACUCCAGUCUGGGCGACAAAGCGAGACUCCAUCUCAAAGAAAAAAAAAAAGCUUUCUUUAGGGAACACUCCGUUAAGAGCUUUCCUUACUUUGCUUUGUGGAAACAGAAUGUUUUUGUUGGAAGAAACUUUAAGCCACCUAUCUGCAGCUGCAGAGCGUCACUGUUGCAAUACAGGCUUUUCCAAUAGUGAGCGAACCUAAUCUCCCUCUACCCUCUUAAGGUUUCCACCUGGGCCUAAGAGGUUAAAUUGACUUAAGACAGUUUAACAGGGGAAAAGCUUACAGCUAUGUGCAUGGGAGUCCACAAGAAAAGACCCAAAGAAGGAGGAAGCCUAAAUGCUUAUAUACGGGUUUAGCUACAACAAAUUUCAAAAGUCCAUGUUUAAAUAUGACCUUAAUGAACCUAAAAGACAAUUGGGGUACAAGGAAACUAUCUGCACAUGUAAUAGACAAGUGGUUGCCAUGUGUUUAUCCUAUGAAGAGCUGUUACCAGUUGAUGUGUCCAGGUUCUUGGCGUCUUGAACAAAGAAUUGGACAAAACGCACAAAGCAAGGAAAGAAUGAAGCAAAAACAGAGAUUUAUUGAAGAUGAAAGUACACCCCAUAGGUUGGGAGCGCCCGAGGAUAGGGGCUCAAGAGUGCCGUUAGAGAAUGUUCUGGGGUUUAAAUGCCAGCUAGAGGUUUCCAUUGGUUACUUGGCUUAUGCCCUAUGUAAAUGAAGAGGAUGAAGUAAAUUUUAAAGUCAUUUACUGGAUAUAAGCCCUGUGUAAAUGGAGAGGAUGUUUCCUGUCAUUGCUGAAGUACUGCAAUUUGAUUUAGUUCCAGGAAGUCAGCAUGAAUCGGCCUUAACAUUCCCUGCCUCCAGACCCUAUUCUGCCUCAGAACUACAUGUCCAUUAGUAAAAGGCAAACCAGAAAAAUUAUGACCAAGGAUAUAAACAGGCAAGGCAAAUUAUAGAAGGUAGUCAAAUGGCAAAAACACAUCACCAAUAUUCAGAACGAAAUCUUGAACAAUGAAUUCAAUGGCAGAUUGUAACCAAUUUUUUAAGCAGUAAUAAAAAUUUACACUUACUGAUCAAUUAUUAUGUUCCAGUCAGUGUUGAGGUCUUUUAUAUUUUAUUUAAUUACCCUAAAAUGUAGGCUCCAGGAAAACAAGGACCAAAAUUUAGUUGUUGGCCCUUGAAUCCUCACUCUAGCACAGUUUACUUGUUAAUGAUUUGUCUCCCCCUACUAGAGAGCUAGCUCUCUAAGGGCAGGAGCCUUGUCUAUUUCCUUCCCUGCUAUUUCUCCAGCCACACAGUGUGUCUCACCAAGAUAAGUUCAGUAAAUGUGAAAUAAAUUAACAAAUAAUGGGAAAAAAAUGGAGAAUUAUGGUACUUCAUACCAGGAAUUACAGGCAUACCUCCUUUUAUUGUGUUUAGCUUUAUUGUGCUUUACAGAUACCGCUUUUACAAAUUGAAAGUUUGUGGCAAGCCUGCAUCAAGCAGGUCUAUCUGCAACAUUUUUCCGAAAGCGUGUACCUGCUUCGUGUCUCUGCGUCAUAUUUUGGUAAUUUUCACAAUACUUCAAAUAUUUCCAUUAAUAUAUUCAUUACAAUCUGUGAUUAGUGAUUCUUAAUGUUACUCUUGUCAUUGUUUUGGGGUGCCACCAGCCAUGCCCUUAUAAGACGGCAAACUUAAUAGAUCAAUGUUGUGUGUUUCUUACUGCCCCGGGACCAGUACAUUCUCCUGUUUCUCUCUCCCCGUGGGCCUCCCUAUUCCCUAAGACACGACAGUAUUGAAAUUAGGCCAUUUUAUAUUCCUACAAUGGCCUCUAAGUGUUUAAGUGAAAGGAAGAACUGCAUGUGUCUCACUUUAAAUCAAAAGCUAGAAAUGAUCAAGAUUAGUGAGAAAGUUUUGUCAAAAGAAAGCUAGGCUUUUUGUAUCAGUUAGCCAAGUUGUGAAUGCAAAGCAAAAGUUCUUUAAGAAAACUGAAAGUGCUACUCCACUAAACACAUGAAUGAUAAGAAAGAUAAACAGCCUUAUUGCUAUGAAGAAAGUUUGAGUGGUCCGUGUAGAAGAUCCAGUUAGCCACAACAUUUCCUUGAACCAAAGCCAGAUCCAGAGCAAGGCCCUGAUUCUGAAUUAUCUUAAAGUCUGGGAGAAAUGAGUAAACUGCAGAAGAAAAGUUUGAAGAUAGCAGAGGUUCAUGUGGUUUAAGGAAAGAAGCCAUCUCCGUAACAUAAAAGAGCAAGGUGAAGUUGCAAGUACUGAUGAAGAAGCUGUAGCAAGUUGACCAGAAAAUCUAGCUAAGAUCAUUGAUGAAGGUGGCCAUUUUUCAUGGAGAUGAAACAACCUUCUAUUGGAAGAAGAUGACAUCUAAGACUUUGAUAGCUAGAGAGGAAAAGUCAAUACUUGGCUUCAAAGUUUCAAAGGCCAGGCUGACUCACUUGUUAAGGCCUAAUGUAGCUGGUGGUUGUCAGUUGGAGCCAGUGCUUGUUUACCAUUUUGAAAAUCCUAGGGCCCUUAAGAAUUAUGCUAAAUCUGGCCAGGCACGGUGGCUCAUGCAGAUCACGAGGUCAGGAGUUCGAGACCAGCCUG
rnacentral:lncRNA from 1 species